rnacentral:lncRNA from 1 species
GUGACUUGGAGGGUGAGGCAACGCUUCACAGAAGAGUUGGCACCUGAACACACAGGGUUUUGAAAGAUGAAUAGGCCUAGGACAAUUGGACACAGGAUCAAAGGGCAUCCAGGAUUGUGCAAAACACUGGCAGAAACAUCACAGAUUGAAAACUGCUGGAAGAACGCAUUCACCGUCAGUGAAGGAAAGCUGGUCUGGUGCACUCUCAAGCUUUCCAAGAAAAAAAACCAAGUUUUCAAAUAAAAGCAGAGGAGGAAAGUUUCACCAGUGCUUGUUCUGAGAAACCUCUUAGCCUCUCUUUGCUUUGUUUUGCUCUUUCUGUUUUGCUUCCCUCUUAAAGAGUGCUGGCUUAAAACCUCAGUGAAAGAAAAGUACUUCAACUUUACUGUGGAAAAAGGAAACUGAAAAGUAGGCAAAGGCCAAGGGAUACAUUUUUUUAAACAUUCACUCUUUCCUGGAAUAUACAAAUGAAGCAAAAUUACAAAUUCAUGUAUUAUGGGUCUGAAAUAUUUAUUCCAAUUCUUUUCUCCACCAGCUCCAUAAAUAUUUAUUCUAUGCCCACUGCUUGUUAGUUUCUGGGAUACCAGGCCGAUGAGGCAGUCUCUUCCUCUCCUCCUUUGAGCAAGCUUGUGCUUGCAAUCCUGUAUAAGAAAUAAGAGGAGGGCAACAACUUGUAUCUUGUGCCUUCUACACAUGCCAACCAUAGCCUGAAGUUCACAGCAAAGUUAAAUUCCAGUUAAGUAAACCAGUGAGGUCAUAAUACACUUAAAUAACAACUGAGACGUGAGAAACUAACAGAGAUCCUCAGCAUGACUAAGAGAUAUCGUGAAAUUACAACUCAACAAUGAAUUACAGCACAGGCUUUUCACAACUAAGAGACUGUCCAUCAUGGUGCCAGUUUUUCUCAAAAUGGCAUGUGUGCAUGAAAUUCUACAGGCAUAUGGGGUCGUGAUCUGCUAAUCUCCAGUUAUUAUAACUACUUUGAAAAGGGACUUUCCAGCUAUCAGUACACUAUCUCACAAUUACCCUUGAACCAGAAGACAAUGAAUGAUUUGCUAAACAGAUGGCAUAGUCUAUGACAUGCAUCAUAUGUGUGAGCAAUCACAGAAGGUAUGACUUUUCUCAUGAAAUAUUUUCAGACAAAUAUUUUAAGUUAAUCUAACAUUCACUAAAUCUACCUACUGAUUUUAGGUAGAUUUUCUUUCUCCAAAUAUACAUUUUUAAAUAAAAAUUUUCAUUGUAUUGCAUUGUAUUUUAUUGGUUAUCAACAGCACCAUGUUCUUAGUUUUUUUAAAAAAAAUGUUUAAUGAGUUGUAAUAUUUGUGUCUUUAAGCAAGGGGUUCCCUCAUUUUUCCUGUCU